AAAAAGACAAACCCUGGUUUUCGUGUCCAACGUUUAACCAUUCGUCUUAUUUGAAAAAAUUAUGAAAAAAAAAUUACAUAUAAGACGGACAGUUAAAGUUGGACACGGAAACCCAGGGUUUGCCUUUUU
rnacentral:pre_miRNA from 1 species